rnacentral:rRNA from 1 species
GACGAACGCUGGCGGCGUGCUUAACACAUGCAAGUCGAACGGAAAGGCCCUGCUUUUGUGGGGUGCUCGAGUGGCGAACGGGUGAGUAACACGUGAGUAACCUGCCCUUGACUUUGGGAUAACUUCAGGAAACUGGGGCUAAUACCGGAUAGGAGCUCCUGCUGCAUGGUGGGGGUUGGAAAGUUUCGGCGGUUGGGGAUGGACUCGCGGCUUAUCAGCUUGUUGGUGGGGUAGUGGCUUACCAAGGCUUUGACGGGUAGCCGGCCUGAGAGGGUGACCGGCCACAUGGGGACUGAGAUACGGACCAGACUCGUACGGGAGGCAGCGGGGGGGAAUAUGGCACAAUGGGCGGGAGCCUGAUGCAGCAACGCCGCGUGCGGGAUGACGGCCUUCGGGUUGUAAACCGCUUUCGCCUGUGACGAAGCGGGAGUGACGGUAAUGGGUAAAGAAGCACCGGCUAACUACGUG